CGCCUGUCCUGGGGGAGCUCGCAGCGAGCUGAGAUUGCGUCUAUUUCGCGCUAACCCUUAGAACCUGAUCCGGGUAAUGCCGGCGAAGGGAAGGAGUCGCGCGCGAUG
rnacentral:ncRNA from 1 species